UCAUCUUGUUUGUUGUAUUAAUCCCAUAUUUUCCCAUUUCCGUGAUUACAGGCAUCAGUACCAGGACGUUUCAUUCUGGAACACUACAGAAACAGCCUCCCACACAAUAAAGCACGGUGACAGGGUGAAGAGCUCUUCCUUUGGCCCACACGAGGAGGAAAGAGCUGAUUAGCAGUGCUAAAGGAACACAGGACUGGUCCAGCCUUUCACAUCCAAGUAUAACAAGGAGCCUGCCAUCACACCGAGAACGCUGCGACUAGACUGAGAGGAGGAAAAGAAAACCCUGUGCCUGUUGACAUUACUCAUUUCAACAAAGACCCUGAGAAAUUAAUUACAGAACUGCAUGUUUGCUGCUCAACUGAGUUAUAACACAAACACUUCAAAAGACCGUGACUUAGCAUGAAGUACCGUCUCUAAUACCAUCACCC